UAACUGGAGGAAGGUGGGGAUGACGUCAAAUCAUCAUGCCCCUUAUGACCUGGGCUACACACGUGCUACAAUGGACAGAACAAAGGGCAGCGAGACCGCGAGGUUAAGCCAAUCCCACAAAUCUGUUCUCAGUUCGGAUCGCAGUCUGCAACUCGACUGCGUGAAGCUGGAAUCGCUAGUAAUCGCGGAUCAGCAUGCCGCGGUGAAUACGUUCCCGGGCCUUGUACACACCGCCCGUCACACCACGAGAGUUUGUAACACCCGAAGUCGGUGAGGUAACCUUUAUGGAGCCAGCCGCCGAAGGUGGGACAGAUGAGGGGAAGUA
rnacentral:rRNA from 1 species